GUUUGGUCCUAGCUUUACUAUCCACUGUUUCUCAACUUACACAUGCAAGUCUCAGCACACCCGUGAGAAAGCCCUUUUCCCUCCACCAGUCUAAGGAGCCGGUAUCAGGCACAACCACUUUAGCCCAUAACACCUAGUCUCACCACACCCACAAGGGUACUCAGCAGUGAUAAACAUUGAGUAUAAGCGCCAGCUUGACUCAGUUAGAGAAAAGAGGGUCGGCCAAAUCGGUGCCAGCCGCCGCGGCUAUACCGUAGACCCAAAUUGAUAGUCCUCCGGCGUCUAACGUGAUUAGGGCAAUUCUACCUUAGAGCCAAAUAGACACUAGGUUGUGAUAAUCUUGUUGUUUAAAAGACCAAAAACGAAAGUUACUCUAACUUAUACCUGAACACACGACAACUAGGACUCAAACCGGGAUUAGAUACCCCGUUAUGCCUAGUCGUAAAAUAUUUACUUACACCCCCUCACGCCAGGGUAUUACGAGCUUCAGCUUAAAACCCAAAGGACUUGACGGUGUCCCACCCACCUAGAGGAGCCUGUUCUAUAAUCGAUACCCCCCGCUUUACCCCACCACUUUUAGCAUAUCAGCCUGUAUACCUCCGUCGUAAGUUUACCGUGUGAACGUCUGCAGUAAGCUAAAUGGCCUUUCACCAGCACGUCAGGUCAAGGUGCAGCCCAUGGAGUGGCAAGCAAUGGGCUACAAUUUCUAACUUAGAACAUACGGAUAAGCUGCAAUGAAACAGCUUAGAAGGAGGAUUUAGUAGUAAAAAGGAAGCAUGAGUGUCCUUUUUAACCCGGCACUGGGACGCGUACACACCGCCCGUCACCCUCUUCAUAGUACUAACCAAGUAAAUAACACUUAUUGACACCCUAGAAGAGGCAAGUCGUAACACGGUAAGUGUACUGGAAAGUGCACUUGGCUAAACAAAAUGUACUUUAAUUAAAGCCUCUCACUU
rnacentral:ncRNA from 1 species